AUGCUGUUGAUCAUCCUGUUUUCCUGGCAUCUAGGCCAGGAAAAGGCCAUCAGUGACAGCAUCACUGUCAUUCUACUUGCCUGCCCUCCAGUUGUGCCUGUUAGGGGGUUUGAAGACUAUCCACAGUCUAGUUCUUGAGAUGCAGUUGCCAGUUCUGGUACCACUCAUGUGACAAGCAAACACUUUUACUGCUUUAUCCAACUUUCCAUCUUGUACAGCUUCUUGUGUUGACAUAGUUACAAAUACUUAUUAUUUGAAGCGGAGCCAGGUUGCUGUCAGCCAAUUGCCUUUCAUUUACACUGUUCAGUUACUCAUCCAUGUAAAAAUAAAAUGCUGUUGAGCUUUAUUGGACUUGCUUUC
rnacentral:lncRNA from 1 species